GAUCAUUACUGAGUGAGGGUUCCUUCGGGGCCCAACCUCCCACCCUUGUAUACUGUACCAAGUUGCUUCGGCGGGCCCGCCGUUCGCGCGGCCGCCGGGGGGGAACCCCUCCCCCCGGGCGAGCGCCCGCCGGAGACCCCAACGUGAACACUGUCUGAAGUUUUGUCGUCUGAGUUCGAUUGUAUCGCAAUCAGUUAAAACUUUCAACAAUGGAUCUCUUGGUUCCGGCAUCGAUGAAGAACGCAGCGAAAUGCGAUAAUUAAUGUGAAUUGCAGAAUUCAGUGAAUCAUCGAGUCUUUGAACGCACAUUGCACCCCCUGGUAUUCCGGGGGGUAUGCCUGUCCGAGCGUCAUUGCUGCCCUCAAGCCCGGCUUGUGUGUUGGGUCCUCGUCCCCCCCCGGGGGACGGGCCCGAAAGGCAGCGGCGGCACCGCGUCCGGUCCUCGAGCGUAUGGGGCUUUGUCACACCGCUCUCGUAGGCCCGGCCGGCGCUGGCCGACGCUGAAAAGCAACCAUUAUUUCUCCAGGUUGACCUCGGAUCAGGUAGGGAUACCCGCUGAACUUAAGCAUAUCAAUAA
rnacentral:misc_RNA from 1 species